AUUUCCAAAAUAGUAGGACAAUGGUGCAUGAAGGGACCGUAACACCCUAAGAAGGGAGGGGUUGAAUUGGGUGUUUUAAAAAUUGAGGCUCCAAACACAUUUAAAAACCUAUUCCAAUUUUGAUCUUGAUGUGUACUAGGUUUUUAUAUGUGUUUCUAUCUCUACCGCAAAAGAGUUUUGCACCCUAAGAUCCAAUCCUAUAAACUACAGAUGGUAAUUCUAGGAAAGGUAAACACGGAAUGUAAAGUGCCAUAUUAAAUGCGGAAGGUAAAUGGGGUAGAGAAGGCAAAUUCCUAGCAUAGACAUGGUGAUUUUUACCAAGGUAUUGAAAAGCAAAGCUUUCCACUCGUCCUCGAUAUUGGAGCCCCUCUCAAACGAAAGCCUAUGCAAGGGCAUAAGCUCCCUAGUGAAGUAACUCUGUAGGAUAGCCGAGAGUCUUCCCCACACGCAAGUGGGUCACUACAUAGCCUCUCCCAGAUGAUCCUCACUACACUUUACUUAGUAGAGCUUUAGCAAAAUGCCUAGGUGCAAGAAACAUGGCCCCAUUAG
rnacentral:lncRNA from 1 species